rnacentral:rRNA from 1 species
UUUGAAAGGGAAACGAUUGAAGUCAGUCGUACCGACGAGAAAUCAGCUCCUUGAGUGCGAACUUGUGGGCGUGUGUGAGCUUUAAAACCUCGCUGUUUGCAACGUUUGUGCUUUUUGGGUGUACUUUUUCGUAUGGUAGGCCAACAUCAGUUUUGGUCGCUAUAAAAUGAUCGGAGGAAUGUAGCUUCGAUCUCGUAUUGAAGUGUUAUAGCCUCUGGUAGAUGUGGUUGCCGGGAUUGAGGACUGCGACGAAUGCCUUCGGGCUAUCCGCCUGAUCUCUAAUCGUUGCCUUGUUGCCGAAAGCUUGCUUACGGUUUUCGAGGUUGGUGGUUAAAAGGUUAGAACGUGAUUAAAUUCGUUAAGGAUGUUGACGUAAAUCGAA